rnacentral:rRNA from 1 species
GACGGACGCUGGCGGCGUGCUUAACACAUGCAAGUCGAACGGAAAGGCCUCAUCUUGCUGGUGUACUCGAGUGGCGAACGGGUGAGUAACACGUGGGUGAUCUGCCCUGCACUCUGGGAUAAGCCUUGUAAACUGGGUCUACUACCGGAUAGGACCGUUCUUUCGUGUGUGCGGUGGAAAGUUUUUCGGUGGAGGCUGUAGCGGCGGCCUAUCAGCUUGUUGGUGGUGUACUGGCCUACGAAGGCGGCGACGGGUAGCCGGCCGGCGAGGGGGGACGGAGACAUGGGGCAGAAGACAAGGCCAGGAAGCCGAGGGGAGGCAGGAGCGGGGAGUAUUACACAAAGGGCGCGAGGCUGAGGCAGCGACGCCGGGUGGGGGAUGACGGCCUUCGGGUUGUAAACAGCAUUCGGCAGGGACGAAGCUGUUGUGACGGUACCGGCAGAAGAAGCACCGGCUAACUACGUG